AGGGAUUGAAGACCUGUAUCAACUAAACCCUUUAAGCCGUUUGCUUUGUGCACCACAAAAUCAAGUACAUCAGAGGAGGCAUUUGGAGUAGCGGUUGACAUCGUUAGAGGUGGUGGGAAUCUGGCAGAACUUUGUACCAGAAUUUCGAUCUCUUAUUACCAGGGCUGUCUUAUAUAAUAUACUUAUUUAUUUUACAAAUAAU
rnacentral:misc_RNA from 1 species